GCCGGGGUGUCGGAACAAGGAAGACGAUCCCGACUCAAAAUCGGGUGGGGGAAGACCCCGUGCGGGUUCGAGUCCCGCCCCCGGCACCA
rnacentral:tRNA from 1 species